rnacentral:rRNA from 1 species
UACGGAGGGUGCAAGCGUUAUCCGGAAUCACUGGGUUUAAAGGGUGCGUAGGCGGUUUUGUAAGUCAGUCGUGAAAUCUUGACGCUUAACGUUAAAAUUGCGAUUGAUACUGUGAGACUUGAAUCAGGUUGAGGCAGGCGGAAUGUGGCAUGUAGCGGUGAAAUGCAUAGAUAUGCCAUAGAACACCGAUUGCGAAGGCAGCUUGCUGGGCUUAGAUUGACGCUGAGGCACGAAAGCGUGGGGAGCAAACAGG